CAGCCACAGAAACAGCCGCUGGCUCCAGUGCCUGCACAGGAGCAAGGACAGGCCAAGAGCAUGUCCGGCCAGGACAGAAAGUGCCCGACGGGGCAGGGAGAACACAGUGAAUGCCUGGUCCAGCCACCCUGCACCAGCACAAACAAAAGGCAGCCAUGACUCCCCGCCCCUCCGUCCUCUCCAGCGCAGCACAAGCGAGGCCAAGCAAGGCACAAAGAGGGCAGUCUGCGCAGUGACUGACUGCCGCAGCCCAGGAAAGCAGCAAGCACCUCCUGGGAAAAAGUGAUAAACAACCAAAUGCUGUUCUGGUGGCUUUAACAGCGCCCCCAGUGACAGCCUGGGAACACCCUACCCCCCUCAACUAGGGGGAGGGCCAAAGGACCUUGGCCCAUCCUUACAGCGCUGUGCUCAGCCUUACAGGUGGCUCGGGUAUUGGUGGACUGGAGGCCACAGGUAGAAACAAUGUAUUGGUCUACAGGAGCAAAAAGCAUUUUGCUGUCAGGAGUGGAAAUGAGCAAACUGACUUCCAUCACGUCCCACCCCAUCCUAUGGCAAUGCUUCUAUAACACCACCAGUGGACAAAAGCCCCCGAUGUUGCUUUGUUUCAUUAUAUUGAUGAUGUCUUGUUAACCUCUGAGUCUUUUCCAGAUCUUGAAGGAGCCUCCAGCUCCCUCCUCACCCACCUAUGCCAAUGAGGAUGGAUGGUAAAUGACAACAGAGUACAGGGGUCUAGAUUGUCUGUCAAAUACUUGGGUGUUAUCUGAUUGGGUAAGACAAAAGCAGUUCCUGCUACGAUUGUAGAUAAGAUACAGGCUGCCUGGCCUCUUUAUAAGUUGAUGGGGAAGGGGGCCAUCUGGGACUGGGGCUUACUGAGCAGGAGGCCUUUGCCCAAGCCAAAGUAGCAGUGAAACAAAUUCAGUCCUUGGGUGUUUUAACACAAGGACAACCAUGUCAAUUGGAUGUUUCCGGUUACCCAGAAGGGUUUGGAUGGAAUCUCCGGCAGAGGCAAGGCAAUAAAUGAGUGCCCCUUGGCUUCUGGUCCCAAUUGUGGAAAGGAGCUGAAAACCGGCACGGUGCCCUGGAACAAUUAUGUGCUGCUUACCUGGCCCUUCAGCAGGUGGAGCCCAUAAUCCACUUUCUGCCAGUCACGGUCCACAUUUGUUUGCCCAUUGCGGGGUGGCUGUGGGAUGCUUUCCAAAAGCCCCACUCCAGAACAGGCCAAACACAGACACUAGCCAAGUGGCAUGCAUAUUUACAAUAAUGAGGGACCUACACCAGCAAUCCCCUAAGUGCAGAAUUGCAUGCCAUCCUAGGACCAGUAGCAUACACUACAGAAGAACCAAUCCCGUUAAAUGAGGUACCUAUGCCUGAAACCCUGCCAAAUAUAUGGGAAGGAGAAGGACCAAUCCUGGCGGAGACCUGGUAUAUGGUUGGCUCUGCAAGGGGAAACCCUGCCCAGUGGACAGCAGUGACCAUCCAGCCUUCAACCGACAGUAUAUGGUUGGACUCUGGCUCUGGGUACAGUAGUCAAUGGUCUGAAUUGCAGGCUGCCUGGAUGGUGUUGACUCGUGAGCCCAAUCCAAUAUGUCUAUGUACGAACAUUCAGGCAGUUUAUAAAGGGCUCACCCUAUGGAUGGCCCAAUGGGUACAACAAAAGUGUACUAUUAAUGGUCAUCCAUUGCCGGGGGCAGAACUCUGGGAUGAUAUCUGGCAACAGGUCUGGGAAAUGACCGUAACAGUAUACCAUGUGUCUGCACAUCAGGUGACAAUGCUAUUAGGAAACCAGCAGGAAGAUGAGUUAGCUCGAAUUUGCCUCCUGGAAGAAGAACCAGCAGAGAGAGUGGCAGAAUGGCUAUAAAAGAGGAUUGGACAUAAAGGACAAAAAGCCCUCUGGGCUAUUGCUAAGGCCUGGGGCCUCCCCCUGUGCUAUGCAGACAUAGUGGAGGCCCGUCAGGAGUGCCCUUCCUGCUUCUUGUGGAGACCCCGUGCCAUUCCCUGGGACACAGGCCAAAUAGCCAGAGGCAACCAGCCCUCUCAAGGCUGGCAGAUGGACUACAUCGGGCCCUUGUCUCUCUUUGAUGGCUGUCGGUAUGCUCUUACUUGUGUGGACACGUACACAGGACUGCUGCAGGCAUACCCCAGCAAAAGGGCCACACAGAAGACCACCAUAAAGCGCCUGGAACAUCUCUGUACUGCAUACAGUGUUCCCACAGACAUUGACAGUGACCAACAUAUGCAUUUUACUGGCCACCAGGUACAGAUGUGGGCCAUCAAAUGGACAUACAUUGGCAUUUCCACCUGCCAUACAACCCAAGGGCUGUGGGGCUGGUGGAAUGCAUGAACAGCCUGCUGAAACAACAACUAAGGACAGAAGAUGGGACUCUGGCCCACUGGACAAGACGGCUGACAACGGCAAUACGGGAACUAAAUGAACAUGAGAGACACACUCGACCCAGUGCAUAUCAGAUAUUGACACAAGGACCUGAUACAACAGAACAUCUACAAACAUGAGCUAAUCAAGGAGAGAAACUGCAACCACAGAUGGGCACUCAGAACAACAACUUGCCUCUGCCACAAGAACUUCCUACUGGGACCCACAUGGUCACUUGGCCCUGGGACUGGCAGGACAACAUCUGCGAACGUUUUCACUGCCUGAAGACACACCGCUGCUGACAUACAAAAUCACUCCAACUGCUGAGUAUGCAGCGAGCUGCCUCUCUCUUCAACCACAGGGUUACCAUGGUGUCUCCAAGCUGCCAACGCCUCUGACUGAAGGGCCCUAGGAGAGUGGAGGAACACUGCCCUCUUUCCCAUUUCUACUCCCCUCCACAUGCUGUGCUCUCUAUUGCUGUUGUGGUGUCUGCUUACAAUGCUCCUCUAUGUGUCUGGCUCAAGGGACUCUGCGGAAGAAUGGCGCACGCGACAAGAUUGUGAGGGCCAUUAGGGCAAAAGGGGGAUGGGGUGUGGGUCCUGGGCCUUGCCUGCUCAACAGAAACCCCCAGGCCCAUUGCAACUGUGGGGGACUGGAAUUGGCCUCGCCAAGAUAUGUCUCUUUGGCAUGAGGAUUAUUUGGGGCUGAUUACUUUUAAUAAACUGCAGACAGGAAAGCAACUGAAAAGUAGAAUUUACUUACCCUUUGUAAGAGACAUUUACAUUGUAAAGGAAAUCUCCAUCUGUACAAGGUGUCUCCCUCUCCGUACCAGGAAGAAGGGGGGAUGACCUUAUCUCUAGAAACUCCUAUCAGUACAGAAUGCAAGGACUUAAAUCUGCAUAAUAAUCUUAUUCCUGUUUAUUGUACUUGUCUGGUAACCUCCUAUAACUGACUCCCCCCACCUGCAGCAUCCUCCUUUGUCUUUAGCUGAAUAUGACAUUUAAGGUGGUGGCUUCAGCCAAUUUGGCGAGUUGCUCAGGUUGCCUGAGCCUCUCCCAUGUAUACAUGUUAUAAAGCUUUGUUUAAUUUUCUCCUGUUAUUCUGUCUCAUGUGAAUUUAAUUUGUUCUCAGGCCAAAAGAACCCAAAGAAAGUAGAGGAAAUGUCUAUCUCCCCUACACAACCAUGUUUCCUUCUGGCUCCCUUCUGGGCAGGCAGCCCAGCUACUGGGAUUUGUAACGAUCUGGACCUGGCCAGCCCAGAUCCUCCCUUAUCCCAUGAGAAGAACAUCAUCUUUUUGUUUUCUUUUUUGAGGAAGAAUAACCCUGAGAUAACUGCUGCCAAUCCUCCCCUUUUUGCUGACGAAGACUGGCCCUGAGCUAACAUCCAUGCCCAUCUUCCUCGACUUUAUACAUGGGAUGCCUACCACAGCAUGGCAUGCCAAGCGGUGCCAUGUCCGCACCUGGGAUCCGAACCAGCGAACCCCAGGCCACCAAAGCGGAACAUGCGACCUUAACCACUGUGCCACCAGGCUGGCCCCCAGAACAUCAUGUCUUACAGGGACACAGAGACUCUCCAUGUGAGCUAAUGUUCCUGGGAAUGCUGGUCGUACCAAGGACAGCCCUUUGGCAAGCACACAGCCUUUGCUCUUCUGCCUACUUAAGCAAGCUUCUCUUGGGGGGCAGUGGCAAGUGCACACUUCCAUCCAGCCAGCUGCCACUGGACAUGAUCCCUGUAAAUAAGUCCCAAUAAACGUAUAUGUCUCGUUUGCGGUCCCUGGUUCGUUUCUUCAGUCUCUCGGCCCGAUAUCCCACCGUCCUAACCCAGCUGGGCUUGUGGCCUAACAUAGGGGCAUAGAGCACUUAACAUGUGCCAAAUGAAAACAACAUUCAACUCCAUAAAAUCACUUGGUUUCCAACUUCGACUAGUGACUGGCACCCAGUGUGGAAGACGUGAAGCUAACUGUCAUGUGUGACAAUGCCCUAUCUCUUGUCAUACAAUAGCAAAUCCACUAUUAUGCUAUGUUUGUUCUACUACACAUAUAUAUUUUUGAAGGUCUUUGGUGAAGAGUGGUAUGUUUAUUUUCAUGUGAAAUAGCCACAAUAAUUAUGUACUGUCAUAUCUUCCUGACUUAAAAGGCACUUGAUAUAUAUAGUUAGAGAUUAUCUAUUGCAUAUAGGUUGCUAGAUAUUCAUUGUAAAUUACAUCCUUAAUAAAUAUGAAGUUAUCAUCUUUUUCCCAUUUAAUGCUAAUUGCAAUGGUGUUACAUUUUCUCCAAUUUAGCAUUCCUACUCCUCACUUCAUUGUGUCUAUGUUUGAUAGAGCAUUACCUGUCAUUUUGCUUAUAGAAUAUUUCUUGCAUGUUAUUUUAUGAUCUGUUAUAAACAAAGAGGUAAUAUAGUCCAAUUUACUGGCAAAAGGGAGUCUCUGGAGCCAGAGUCUUUGCAUCCGGAUAGAAGUUGCAACAUAAAUAACAAAGUGACCAAAG
rnacentral:lncRNA from 1 species